rnacentral:rRNA from 1 species
GAUGAACGCUGGCGGCGUGCCUAAUACAUGCAAGUCGAGCGAACGGACGAGAAGCUUGCUUCUCUGAUGUUAGCGGCGGACGGGUGAGUAACACGUGGAUAACCUACCUAUAAGACUGGGAUAACUUCGGGAAACCGGAGCUAAUACCGGAUAAUAUUUUGAACCGCAUGGUUCAAAAGUGAAAGACGGUCUUGCUGUCACUUAUAGAUGGAUCCGCGCUGCAUUAGCUAGUUGGUAAGGUAACGGCUUACCAAGGCAACGAUGCAUAGCCGACCUGAGAGGGCGAUCGGCCACACUGGAACUGAGACACGGUCCAGACUCCUACGGGAGGCAGCAGUAGGGAAUCUUCCGCAAUGGGCGAAAGCCUGACGGAGCAACGCCGCGUGAGUGAUGAAGGUCUUCGGAUCGUAAAACUCUGUUAUUAGGGAAGAACAUAUGUGUAAGUAACUGUGCACAUCUCGACGGUACCUAAUCAGAAAGCCACGGCUAACUACGUGCCAGCAGCCGCGGUAAUACGUAGGUGGCAAGCGUUAUCCGGAAUUAUUGGGCGUAAAGCGCGCGUAGGCGGUUUUUUAAGUCUGAUGUGAAAGCCCACGGCUCAACCGUGGAGGGUCAUUGGAAACUGGAAAACUUGAGUGCAGAAGAGGAAAGCGGAAUUCCAUGUGUAGCGGUGAAAUGCGCAGAGAUAUGGAGGAACACCAGUGGCGAAGGCGACUUUCUGGUCUGUAACUGACGCUGAUGUGCGAAAGCGUGGGGAUCAAACAGGAUUAGAUACCCUGGUAGUCCACGCCGUAAACGAUGAGUGCUAAGUGUUAGGGGGUUUCCGCCCCUUAGUGCUGCAGCUAACGCAUUAAGCACUCCGCCUGGGGAGUACGACCGCAAGGUUGAAACUCAAAGGAAUUGACGGGGACCCGCACAAGCGGUGGAGCAUGUGGUUUAAUUCGAAGCAACGCGAAGAACCUUACCAAAUCUUGACAUCCUUUGACAACUCUAGAGAUAGAGCCUUCCCCUUCGGGGGACAAAGUGACAGGUGGUGCAUGGUUGUCGUCAGCUCGUGUCGUGAGAUGUUGGGUUAAGUCCCGCAACGAGCGCAACCCUUAAGCUUAGUUGCCAUCAUUAAGUUGGGCACUCUAAGUUGACUGCCGGUGACAAACCGGAGGAAGGUGGGGAUGACGUCAAAUCAUCAUGCCCCUUAUGAUUUGGGCUACACACGUGCUACAAUGGACAAUACAAAGGGCAGCGAAACCGCGAGGUCGAGCAAAUCCCAUAAAGUUGUUCUCAGUUCGGAUUGUAGUCUGCAACUCGACUACAUGAAGCUGGAAUCGCUAGUAAUCGUAGAUCAGCAUGCUACGGUGAAUACGUUCCCGGGUCU